rnacentral:tRNA from 1 species
GCCUGGGUGGCUCAGUCGGUUGAGUGUCCGACUUCGGCUCAGGUAAUGAUCUCAUGGUCUGUGGGUUCAAGCCCCGCGUCGGGCU